rnacentral:rRNA from 1 species
CGAAGCAACGCGAAGAACCUUACCUAAGCUUGACAUCCCAAUGACAUCUCCUUAAUCGGAGAGUUCCCUUCGGGGACAUUGGUGACAGGUGGUGCAUGGUUGUCGUCAGCUCGUGUCGUGAGAUGUUGGGUUAAGUCCCGCAACGAGCGCAACCCUUGUCUUUAGUUGCCAUCAUUAAGUUGGGCACUCUAGAGAGACUGCCAGGGAUAACCUGGAGGAAGGUGGGGAUGACGUCAAAUCAUCAUGCCCCUUAUGCUUAGGGCUACACACGUGCUACAAUGGGUAGUACAGAGGGUUGCCAAGCCGUAAGGUGGAGCUAAUCCCUUAAAGCUACUCUCAGUUCGGAUUGUAGGCUGAAACUCGCCUACAUGAAGCUGGAGUUACUAGUAAUCGCAGAUCAGAAUGCUGCGGUGAAUGCGUUCCCGGGUCUUGUACACACCGCCCGUCACACCACGGGAGUUGGAGACGCCCGAAGCCGAUUAUCUAACCUGUUGGAAGAAGUCGUCGAAGGUGGAAUCAAUAACUGGGGUGAAGUCGUAACAAGGUAGCCGUAUCGGAAGGUGCGGCUGGAUCACCUCCUUUCUAAGGA